rnacentral:rRNA from 1 species
GACGAACGCUGGCGGCGUGCCUAAUACAUGCAAGUCGAGCGGACAGAAGGGAGCUUGCUCCCGGAAGUUAGCGGCGGACGGGUGAGUAACACGUGGGCAACCUACCCUGUAGAUCGGGAUAACAUCGAGAAAUCGGUGCUAAUACCGGAUAAUCAUUUGAAGUGCAUGCUUCGAAUGUAAAAGAUGGCUCCGGCUAUCACUACGGGAUCGGCCCGGGGCGCAUUAGCUAGUUGGUAAGGUAAUGGCUUACCAAGGCAACGAUGCGUAGCCGACCUGAGAGGGUGAUCGGCCACACUGGGACUGAGACACGGCCCAGACUCCUACGGGAGGCAGCAGUAGGGAAUCUUCCGCAAUGGACGAAAGUCUGACGGAGCAACGCCGCGUGAGUGAUGAGGGUUUUCGGAUCGUAAAGCUCUGUUGUUAGGGAAGAACAAGUGCCGUUUGAAUAAGGCGGCACCUUGACGGUACCUAACCAGAAAGCCACGGCUAACUACGUGCCAGCCGCCGCCGUAAAAC